GAUGAAGAACGCAGCGAAAUGCGAUAAGUAGUGUGAAUUGCAGAAUUCAGUGAAUCAUCGAAUCUUUGAACGCACAUUGCGCCCCUUGGUAUUCCAUGGGGCAUGCCUGUUCGAGCGUCAUUUGUACCUUCAAGCUUUGCUUGGUGUUGGGUGUUUGUCUCGCCUUUGCGUGUAGACUCGCCUUAAAAUAAUUGGCAGCCGGCGUAUUGAUUUCGGAGCGCAGUACAUCUCGCGCUUUGCACUCAUAACGACAGCGUCCAAAAGUACAUUUUACACUCUUGACCUCGGAUCAGGUAGGGAUACCCGCUGAACUUAAGCAUAUCAAUAAGCGGCGGA
rnacentral:misc_RNA from 1 species